AAACUUGGCAAUGCGAGAAAUCGUGACCAGGGAACUCCAAGUGCAUCGGGUAAGACCNANNCUUUUCUUGACUCUUCAAAGGUCUUGGAAUAAGGGGUGGGUAAGGACGGUGCCAGCCGCCGCGGUAAUACCGGCGCCCCAAGUGGUAGUCGCUUUUAUUGGGCCUAAAACGUCCGUAGCCGGUUUGGUACAUUCGUGGGUAAAUCAACCAGCUCAACUGGUUGAAUUCUGCGAGCACGGCCAGACUUGGGACCGGGAGAGGUGUGGGGUACUCUCAGGGUAGGGGUAAAAUCCUGUCAUCCUGAGAGGACCACCUGUUGCGAAGGCGCCACACUAGAACGGAUCCGACGGUCAGGGACGAAGCCUAGGGGCACGAACCGGAUUAGAUACCCGGGUAGUCCUAGGUGUAAACGCUGUGGACUUGAUGUUGGGGGUGCUCCGAGGGCCCUCAGUGUCGAAGCGAAGGUGAUAAGUCCACUGCCUGGGGAGUACGGUCGCAAGGNUGAAAUUUAA
rnacentral:rRNA from 1 species